rnacentral:rRNA from 1 species
AUCAACGCUGGCGGCGUGCCUAACACAUGCAAGUCGAGCGAGAAAAGGGGAGCAAUCCCCGAGUAAAGCGGCGGACGGGUGAGUAACACGUGGGUAAUCUGCCCGGAUGUGGGGGAUACCUCGCCGAAAGGCGAGCUAAUACCGCAGACAGAUCGCCGGGGACUUCGGUCCUGGCGCUCAAAGCGGGGGGUCGCAAGACCUCGCGCUUCCGGAGGAGCCCGCGCCCCGAUUAGCUAGUUGGCGAGGGUAAUGGCUCACCAAGGCGACGAUCGGUAGCCGGGCCUGAGAGGGUGAUCGGCCACACUGGAACUGAGACACGGUCCAGACUCCUACGGGAGGCAGCAGUGGGGAAUUUUGCGCAAUGGGCGAAAGCCUGACGCAGCAACGCCGCGUGGAGGAUGAAGGUCUUUGGAUUGUAAACUCCUGUCGAGCGGGAAGAAUGGCUCGGGUCCUAAUACGGCCCGGGUUUGACUGUACCGCCAGAGGGAAGCCCCGGCUAACUCCGUGCCAGCAGCCGCGGGUAAUACGGAGGGGGCAAGCGUUAUUCGGAAUUAUUGGGCGUAAAGGGCGCGUAGGCGGCCUGGUCAGUCGAAGGUGAAAUCCCCGAGCUCAACUUGGGAACUGCCUUCGAUACUGCCGGGCUUGAGUCCGGGAGGGGAGAGUGGAAUUCCCAGUUGUAGCGGUGUGAAAUGCGUAGAUAUUGGGAGGAACACCAGUGGCGAAGGCGGCUCUCUGGACCGGUUUCUGACGCUGAGGGCGCGAAAAGCGUGGGGUAGCCAAACAGGAUUAGAUACCCUGGUAGUCCACGCCGGUAAACGAUGGGUACUCGGUGCAGGGGGUAUCGACCCCUCCUGUGCCAAAGCUAACGCAAUUAAGUACCCCGCCUGGGGGAGUACGGUCGCAAGGCUGAAACUCGAAGGAAUUGACGGGGGCCCGCACAAGCGGUGGAGCAUGUGGUUCAAUUCGACGCAACGCGAAGAACCUUACCUGGGUUUAGAAGGUGGCAGGACCGGUGAUGAAAGUCACUCUCCCCGCAAGGGGCCUGCUACUAGGUGCUGCAUGGCUUGUCGUCAGCUCGUGUCCGUGAGGUGUUGGGUUUAAGUCCCGCAACGAGCGCAACCCCUACCCGUAGUUACCAGCGGUUCGGCCGGGGACUCUACGGGGACUGCCGGUGAUAAACCGGAGGAAGGUGGGGGAUGACGUCAAGUCCUCAUGGCCUUCAUGUCCAGGGCUACACACGUGCUACAAUGGGCGGUACAAAGCGUCGCAAAGUCGCGAGACGGAGCUAACCGCAAAAAAGCCGCUCUCAGUUCGGAUUGCAGUCUGCAACUCGACUGCAUGAAGCUGGAAUCGCUAGUAAUCGCGGAUCAGCAUGCCGCGGUGAAUACGUUCCCGGGCCUUGUACACACCGGCCCGUCACAUCACGAAAGUCGGCUGUACCAGAAGUCGGUUGCCUAACCGCAAGGAGGGCCGCCGCCCAAGGUAUGGUCGGUGAUUGGGGGU